AAUCAACGCUGGCGGCGUGCCUAACACAUGCAAGUCGAACGCGAAAGCCCCGCAAGGGGUAAGUAGAGUGGCGCACGGGUGAGUAACACGUGGAUAACCUGCCUUUGAGUGGGGAAUAACCUUCCGAAAGGAGGGCUAAUACCGCAUAACACCUUUAGACAAAAGUCAAAGGGUUAAAGGAGCAAUUCGCUCAAAGAGGGGUCCGCGCCUGAUUAGCUAGUUGGUGAGGCAACGGCUCACCAAGGCUUCGAUCAGUAGCCGUCCUGAGAGGGAGCACGGCCACACUGGAACUGAGACACGGUCCAGACUCCUACGGGAGGCAGCAGUGGGGAAUUUUGGCAAUGGCGAAAGCCUGACCAAGCAACGCCGCGUGGGUGAUGAAGUAUCUUGGUACGUAAAACCUUUCGGCAGGGACGAACUCAAUGACGGUACCUGCGGAAGAAGCCCCGGCUAACUCCGUGCCAGCCGCCGAGUAA
rnacentral:rRNA from 1 species